rnacentral:lncRNA from 9 species
GGGAGAUGGAGAAAACACAAGGACCCCAGCCUUCUGCUGACGGCAAAAUAAUAGAUCCCAGAUGCCCCCGCAGAACUGGCAAAGUGGGUACUCAGACACCCAUUUGUCAAGCCCUAUCUAGCACCCAUCUUGAGACGACAACAGAGUUGGAGUUGAGAAGGUCAAGAACAAGGAUUUCUCUGGAGAAGCUGUCGUUUUGCUCGCUGUCCACUCCCUGGGCCUGUCUCUCCCACAAAGGGGAAGAAGAGGGAUAUCUUACCCCGCACUUUGAGAUCUAGUGGGAGAAUCCAGGAGACCCCUCAAGGCACUGCUGUCUGACUCGGCUAAAACAUCAACCGUCUUGCUCAUGAGUAGACUCCAGAGGAAAUGGCAGCAUUGGAAGAAACUGCACCUCACACAGGCUAGAAUGGAGGAGAGAUUGUCAUCAAACCUCCACCAUAUAUGAUCUCGUGGAAGCCAGACUGGAGUCAUCUUCAAGGAGACCUUGCUCUCAAGAGGCUGACACAGAGUCUUGUGAAGCAGAAGGCCCCAUGCCCCAGGGCUGAGAUUUUGUGCCCUUGAGUGGCCAGCCACAUCCCACAUCACAGGACUGGUCAUUAUUGGAGAUUCCCACUGGAGGAGUUUCCUAGAAACCCACAAGAUGAAUCCCAAGAGAAAGAUCUAGGUUUACAGUUGACAAGCCUCAUGAAUGCCAAGGACACACUGGCAUGCGUACCAAAAUACCAAUCCCUGAAUACUAUGUAUUUCCUUUAUGCUAUUUUCCCAAUUCAGAAGGAGUCAGAAGCCUGGACUGGUGAACAGGGUUUGGAAAAGCUGAGGAUAUAGAACAGAAGCAUCCAUGCUUCGCUCCCCAGUGCAAGAUUCAGAAACUGGGGAUGGGGAACGCUUUAAAUAUGAUUAAAAUAUGAAUUUUCACAUUACAAGGAAAUGGGUUAUUUAAAGCACUGUCAAUUCCUGCGACAGGAAUUGUGUCCUGUGUGGGAAUUCCUGUGUGGGAAUGUGUCCCACAGCCUUUUCAUUAUCCAACUCUAACUAGAAAAGCUAUAGGACCUAGUUAAGACUUUAUCUAGGAAGAGAGGGAAAAUACAGACUUCACUGAAGUCUCUACCCCUGGAUGGGUUACAAAGAAAAUUAUUUUUAAUCAUUCAGCAAGUACGUAGAGUGCUUUCAAUAUGCCGUAUGUGAUUCCAUGCUUGGAAAUAUUCAUGAAUGGACCAAAUAUCUACAGUCUGUUGGGGUGGGAGUGGGAGGUAGGAUGAAAGACAAUAGUAAAUGUGAUAAAUAGGUAAAUUAUAUAUUCCGUAAAAGUGAUUAGUGCUGUGUGUAAUUUGAUCCAGCUUAGGGCAUUGAGAAUGCUGAGAGAAGGGUAGCUUGUAAUUUUAAACUGAGUAUUUUUUAUUUUGGGGGGUAUAAUUGAUUUACAAUGGUGUGCCAAUUUCCAGAGUGACCCAUUCAUUCAUAUAUAUAUUUUUCUCACAUUAUCACCCAUCAUGUUCUAUCCCGAGACUGGAUAUAAUUCCCUGUGCCAUACAGCAGGACCUCAUUGCUUAUCCAUUCUAAAUGUAAUAGUUUGCAGCUACUAACCCCAAACUCCCAGUCCAUUCUGCUCCCUUCCCCCUCCCCCUUGGCAACCACAAGCCAGUUGUCUAUGUCUAUGAAUCUGUUUCUGUUCUGUAGAUAGGUUCAUGAGUGCCACAACCGAGAUUCACAUAUAAGUGACAUCAUAUGGUAUUUGUCUUUCUCCUUCUGACUUACUUCAUUUGGUAUGAGAAUCUCUGGUUACAUCUAUGCUGCUGCAAAUGGC